GAUGAACGCUAGCUACAGGCUUAACACAUGCAAGUCGAGGGGAAACGACAUCGAAAGCUUGCUUUUGAUGGGCGUCGACCGGCGCACGGGUGAGUAACGCGUAUCCAACCUGCCCAUCACUUGGGAAUAACCUUGCGAAAGUAAGACUAAUACCCAAUGAUAUCCCACGAAGGCAUCGGAAUGGGAUUAAAGAUUUAUCGGUGAUGGAUGGGGAUGCGUCUGAUUAGCUUGUUGGCGGGGUAACGGCCCACCAAGGCAACGAUCAGUAGGGGUUCUGAGAGGAAGGUCCCCCACAUUGGAACUGAGACACGGUCCAAACGCCUACGGGAGGCAGCAGUGAGGAAUAUUGGUCAAUGGGCGAGAGCCUGAACCAGCCAAGUAGCGUGCAGGAAGACGGCCCUAUGGGUUGUAAACUGCUUUUAUAAGGGAAUAAAGUGGGUCACGUGUGACUUUUUGCAUGUACCUUAUGAAUAAGGACCGGCUAAUUCCGUG
rnacentral:rRNA from 1 species